rnacentral:rRNA from 1 species
CUUUGCAUAUUCGUGCUCUUGGGUGUACUUGCCCGUGUGGUUGGUUAACAUCAAUUUCGGGCACCAUAAAAUGGCUGGAGGAAUGUAGCUUCGAUCUUGUAUUGAAGUGUUAUAGCCUUCGGUAGAUGUGGUGAUCGAGAUUGAGGAUUGCAACGGAUACCUUUCGGGGCUACCUGUCUGAUCUCUGAUCGUUGCUUUGGUGCUGAAAGCGUGCUUAUAGUUAUUAAAGUCGAUGGUCAAUAGGUUAGAAUGGGUUAAA